UACGUAGGGUGCGAGCGUUAAUCGGAAUUACUGGGCGUAAAGCGUGCGCAGGCGGCUUGCCAAGUCAGAUGUGAAAGCCCCGGGCUCAACCCGGGAACGGCGUUUGAAACUGGCAGGCUAGAGUUUGGCAGAGGGGGGUGGAAUUCCACGUGUAGCAGUGAAAUGCGUAGAUAUCGUGAGGAACACCAGAGGCGAAGGCGGUUACCUGGACAGUUACUGACGCUCAGGCACGAAAGCAUGGGGAGCAAAAGGG
rnacentral:rRNA from 1 species